UUUCUUAUUAUUUUGAAUUCAAUUUGCUACAACUAACUAACAGUGCAUUGAAAAUCACAGAAAGGGUGUUGUUCACUAACCACGUUGAGGAGAUGAUAGAACGAAGUAUGUUACAUUCAGCACCUGCUCUGCAAUGGGAUGUGAAAAUGGUAUGGUUGCUUCUUCUAUAAUAGCUUCCUCCCCGUGUUCAGUGCAUGGUUCUUCGUAUAUAGCAUCCUCGGCGUUAUGUUGAGGUGAAGUAGAAGCUUAUGAAUCAGUGGGACGACUUUUAG
rnacentral:lncRNA from 1 species